UACGGGGGGAGCAAGCGUUGUUCGGAUUUACUGGGCGUAAAGGGCGCGUAGGCGGCGUGACAAGUCACUUGUGAAAUCUCCGGGCUUAACUCGGAGCGGCCAAGUGAUACUGUCGUGCUAGAGUGCGGAAGGGGCUACUGGAAUUCUCGGUGUAGCGGUGAAAUGCGUAGAUAUCGAGAGGAGCACCUGCGGCGAAGGCGGGUAGCUGGGCCGACACUGACGCUGAGGCGCGAAAGCUAGGGGAGCGAACGGG
rnacentral:rRNA from 1 species